rnacentral:lncRNA from 10 species
GGCCGAUGUGGGCGGAUUGCUUGAGCUCAGUAGUUCGAGACCAGCCUGGGCAAAAUGGUGAAUCCCAUCUCUACUAAAAAUAGAAAAAAUUAGCCAGGCAUGGUGGCACACGCCUGUAGUCCCAGCUACUCAGGAGGCUGAGGUGGGAGAAUCACUUGAACCUGGAUAAGUGAGCCAAGAUUGCACCACUGCACUCCAGCCUGGGUGACAGAGGGAGACUCCAUCUCAAAACAAAAAACAAACAAAAAACUUAGAAGGUCCUUAAUUCCAAAGUUUCUUGGUGCUAGUUCUAAAGUGGUUGAAAAUUCUGCAGGUGACUGGUCAGAGUUGAAUCAGAACUCCUGUGGUUGGGUUGUAGCAUAGUGGCAAAUUUCCAAGGUGUGCAAAGACAAUUUUCCUCUCAUCCCUGGGGCCACUGGAGCCACCAGCUGGCUAUUGGCAAUCUUGUUCUUUUACUUUGGGUGUAUUGUGCAAAUAUUUUCUAUAUGUGCCAUGAUCGGAAAAAUCUUGGGAAACUUGGCUUAGCAAAUUUAAAUUUCAGGGCCUUUUAAGAUGGGAACUCAGUAAAGUUUCCUUGAUAGAAAUUUGCAAUAAGAUUUACUAGGAAUGCUUCAAGUAUUAGCUCUGUGCUGUAAUUUUUAUUAAAAGGAUUGUGGUGUCUAUUAGGAUGUGGAAGCUGGAUUCUUUGGCCUUGCAAAGUGUGUUAUAAAAGGGAAGAACUCCUCUUCUUAAACCACAAUAGAGAGCUAUUUGGAAUUUAUUUUUGAUGCUUUGUAGGUAUUCAUCAAUCUUAGGAAAACUGAAUCAAAGUAAAAAUCUGUAAGGCUUUGUAGUUUAUGGGGAAAAUAAUCACUAGAUACAUAAAAUAUUUACUUUUUUUUAGCCUUUUUUUCCCCCCACAGAACAUAUAGAGGACAGGGCUUUGCUCUGCCUUCUCACUUUCUCCCCACUCACCCCCAACCUCCAGAGUGUGUUUUCCAAGUAAAAUUUUAGGCCAUAGAGAAAUUCGCAAUUGAUAGGCCAAGGUGACUGAUAAAACUCUAGAGGUCAGGAUUGGUAAUAGUGGAGCGAGGACCAGAUGGAAUUUUUGUUUAAUACUGUAUCUGAAAUUGAGGAUGGGAUAGAUAGGAAAUGACCUAUCAUUUCAUGAGGAGAUGACUUUUCUGUGAUAAUGGGACAGAGAUGAGCUUAGAUGAAUGAAUAUAUAUUUUAGCACUUACCUUUUUCCAUAAAACACAAAUAGACUUGGUGCAAAAUUACCAGUCUCACUCCAUGGUAUUUCUGAUGAGAUCGGUAAAUAAUAGAGAGAGACAUACUUCUUUAGGAGCUAGCUGACUUUAACAUAUGCUGGAGUACAAUUGACUUACAACUAUUUGGCGUUAGAAAUGAUUUUUCUAGGGCUUGGUGGGGGAAAAAUACUCGUGAAAUACCUGCCUUGACUUAAACUUCAACAUAUUUUAAAGUCAUUUUAUUAUCCCACAACUCAGAAUGUCUUCAAUUAAAGGUAAGAAAAUAAGGUGAUGGGCUACAGUGGCUUAAUCAGGUGUUCAGUUAAUGAAGUAGAAGAAGGAUACAGAUUCUAAUAAUUCACAGUUGUAGAGGUUCUAGACUGUUCUUAGUAUGAAGUCCUGGCAGUGUAUGUGGCAGAGUGAAUAAUGUUUCACGACCUGGUGAGUCAUGUGAGGACUGUGAGUAACUUUUAUCUUCUGUGUGUCCCACAUAGCAUAUAACAGUACUAUGCUAGUGAUUUGCUUGACAGUUAUUGAAUGAAUGCUAAGUUUCAAAUAUUUAUUUGAUAGUCACUUGAUUACCAAGUAAUCAAAUAAUUACUUAUAGUGUUUUAGGGAGUUUUCAGAAGAUAUUUGUGAUUAAAUAAAUGAUUAUAUAUGUAUAUUAGCAUACUGUAUGCAUUUGUCAGUUGGGAAAGAGGGGAAUAUGGAGAAGUGGGGAACUGCAUUCAGUUUUUAUUUUAUAGGCAACUAAUAUGGUCCUUUGGUUUUAUUUUAAAAUGAAACUGAGCCUUGAGCAUUUUGAGCUUUCAUGUCAAAUGCCUUGAAUGGAAGAGUAGGAAUUUCAUGUAAGUAGCUUACAUCUGCCCUGUAUGUUGGAGAAUGUGAUUAGAUAUACUUGCUUUUCUGCCCAAGGCACUAUUUUUGUAUUUAUAUUGCUUUUUGCAGGUUUACUUCUGUUAACAGGGGUCUGUGAGAAAUAAGGCUUAAAAUAUCAAUACUUCUCAUUUUUCCACAGCCUUCCAAGGCUUCCAUCUUUGUGCCAGUGUGUGGCUCUGGGUGCCAUCUAACCGCAAAAGCAGCAGUUGGGUUUGGAUGAGCUGUGUGACAUUUGGCCUACACGUAGGUCUACUCACCACCCUGGUCAGGGAACCUGGAACAAUCCUAAAACUCACCUACUCUAAUGCAGGCCAUAUUUUUUAAUUAAAAUUGAAAUUGUCACUGAGUAUUGGAAUAAGAAGGGACUUUGGGGUGGAGUGGGUGAGCAGGGCAUUGUCUUACAGAGGAGGUGUGGGGACCGGUAAGUUUUAACUUUCAUCCUUUCAAUCUCUCAGUUUCAGCAAAGAUCUUAUAAAGAAUUUUGUUGCUUUCUUAAAUUCAUGAAAGAAAUGUAAGCAAUUGAGGUGUGUAAUUUUCUUGCCCGUAUUCUCUAUAUUAAAAAAAAAUAAGAAUAUGGUUCUAUGAAUUUCUUGUGCUAUUUUUGCUUUCCUUGAAUUAUUAAAAUAUGUUGCAUAGAACUAAUAUUGUUUUCUUUUUUAUUUUUAUACAGGAAGGAGAGAAAUAUUGUUCAUGUAAUGUGUUACCUUUUUUUGUCUGUGUGAUCUACAAGAGCAUGGCUGAAAUGUUACCAUUUUUAACUAGUGUUUUGACUGAAGAUUAUUAUGAAAAGUUUUACUUUUGUUAGAUUCCUAAUUAAAAAUGCCUAUACUCUUUUAUAGGAGUUUCAACUUUUGCAAUUUGGUAAUAACAGAUUUAGGUAAGUAAAAAAUGAGAAUCUCAUACAGUUCUGAAGAUCUAAGUUUGGUUGAGAAUUUAAUGUUUCAUCACCAGUAAAUUCAAUUAAAGACUUUUGAUUCAAUUAAAGACUCAGUUCUGCCUACACCUGCAAGAACUGAGUUGAUCUGUACAUCAACAUUUCUGAUGUUUCUUUGGUAGUUGCUGCUGGAGUCAGAAGUUAGGAACAAAUCUAAUGGCCUUUGUAAUGUCCUCUGUCAUUUCACGGAGGAAUGACUUAGAGGAACAAAGCUUUCCUGUGAUUUCUUUCUUCAACAGAUGGCUAAUGGCACAGCAUUGCAGUUAGAAUCUUGUUUAAGAUACUAGGAGCACGUCCUGGACUAAAAAUUUCUACAUAAGCUUUAGCAACAACCUUAUAGCUUCCUUUGACUUUUUUGUAGAGCUUACAGAAUGUAUGGCUGCCUAAGUAAUAGUCUCUGAAUUAAUGGGUAAAAAAUAUAUUAUGAGUUUUUUAUCCUCACGUAUGGUGCUAGGCUAUACUGGAUUUGGGCUAACAAAAGCUUGUUAACUUUUUUUUGUCUCAUUGACAGAAGUAUUUUAUAUCUCAUAUUUUACAUUACAUAGGUGUGUGUGUGUGUAUGAAAUAAAAGUUUGAAAAUAAAGUGAUAUACUCUUUUUUAAUCUGCUCUGUGGUAGUCUAUCUUUUUCCAUAAAAACAAUGAG